rnacentral:rRNA from 1 species
GAACGAACGGAGGAGAGCUUGCUCUCCAAUGUUAGUGGCGGACGGGUGCGUAACACGUGAGCAACUUGUCCUUCGGUGGGGGAUAGCCGGCCCAACGGCCGGGUAAUACCGCGUAUUGCAUCAUUAUCGCAUGGUGUUGAUGUGAAAGCGGCCGCAAGGUCGCGCCGGGGGAGGGGCUCGCGGCGUAUCAGCUUGUUGGUGGGGUAACGGCCUACCAAGGCGACGACGCGUAGCUGGUCUGAGAGGAUGAUCAGCCACAUUGGGACUGAGAUACGGCCCAGACUCCUACGGGAGGCAGCAGUGGGGAAUAUUGCGCAAUGGCCGCAAGGCUGACGCAGCGACGCCGUGUGUGGGAUGAAGGCUCUCGGGUUGUAAACCACUGUCAGGAGGGACGAAUACUCGGCUUCGAAUAGUUGACCGAGGGUGACGGUACCUCCAAAGGAAGCACCGGCUAACUCCGUGCCAGCAGCCGCGGUAACACGGAGGGUGCGAGCGUUGUCCGGAUUCACUGGGCGUAAAGCGCGCGUAGGCGGCUUUGUAAGUCAUCUGUGAAAUCCCGG